GAGGGUACAGCUCAGUGGUAGAGUGCAUGCUUAGCACGCAUGAGGUCCUAGGUUCGACCCCCAGUCCCUUCG
rnacentral:tRNA from 1 species